rnacentral:rRNA from 1 species
GAUGAACGCUGGCGGCGUGCUUAACACAUGCAAGUCGAACGAAGCACUUUAUUUGAUUUCUUCGGAAUGAAGAUUUUGUGACUGAGUGGCGGACGGGUGAGUAACGCGUGGGUAACCUGCCUCAUACAGGGGGAUAACAGUUGGAAACGACUGCUAAUACCGCAUAAGCGCACAGGGUCGCAUGACCUGGUGUGAAAAACUCCGGUGGUAUGAGAUGGACCCGCGUCUGAUUAGCCAGUUGGUGGGGUAACGGCCUACCAAAGCGACGAUCAGUAGCCGACCUGAGAGGGUGACCGGCCACAUUGGGACUGAGACACGGCCCAAACUCCUACGGGAGGCAGCAGUGGGGAAUAUUGCACAAUGGGGGAAACCCUGAUGCAGCGACGCCGCGUGAGCGAAGAAGUAUUUCGGUAUGUAAAGCUCUAUCGGCAGGGAAGAAG